UACAAUGUGAUGGACUACAAGGUGAAACAGCCAUUCUGUUAGAAGGAACAACAUUACAAUGUGAUGGACUACAAGGUGAAACAGCCAUUCUGUUAGAAGGAACAACAUUACAAUGUGAUGGACUACAAGGUGAAACAGCCAUUCUGUUAGAAG